GCUGUACGGGGAGUUUCUCUGCCCCGCUCCCACCUCUAAUGCGAGGUCUUUAACCUUUAACUCUGCUUCUCCUUUCCUCCAUCACUUCCAUCUGCUGUGAGCAGCGCCUUCGGGCUUCCCCGUUCCUCGUGGGUCGGGGGCCGAACUCUCCCCGCAGCUCCGUGCGGGUGGGGCCGGGGCGCUCCUCCUCCGCAGCGGAGAGGGAAAGGGAAAGCGAAAGGGAAAGAGCGGGCGAUGUCCCCGCAGUGGGGCCGGGGCAGGCGGCACACGCAGCGGGGGGCAGCACGUGGUCAUACCCAGGAGAUGCACAGGGAGAGGUCCCACCAGGACACCCCUCAUCACAGGGGUGCAGCGGUUGAUUCCGGGGUCCCAUGACAGCUCCAGAUCCACAAUGACCACAGGACCCACAGGGACAGUGGUCCUGGAGAUGGCUGGUGACUGCAGACUGCUGGAUUGCUCCACACCUGGAUGAGAUGUGUGAGGGUGCUGGGGAUGCUGGUGGCUCUGGGUCUCCUCCUGAGCCCUGAUCAUCGCAGCCAAGGCAAGCCAAGUUGGAUGGGGCCUUGGGCAACCUGAGCUGGAUUUCAGCCUCCAGAUUUCAGCUUCCAAAAUGUGCCAAGCAUGAGCCUUCUAGCAAGAGCUUCAUCUGCCCAACCCAUGCUGGACUAACUCAUCCCAGUCCAACCCCUCUCUGCAGGAGUUUUGCCUUCAUGGAAGAAGCUGGUGCCCUAGAAGUGGGCUUUGGAAUGCACUUGCAGUGCCAACAGCCACAGUGACCGUCCUGCUGCUGGGCUGAGUGGGGGAGAGGGGUCUGCAAUGGGUGAUGGAGCCCAAGCGGUGGCCUUGGGACCUGGCUGAGUUUCCCUGCUGCCAGCUGGGGGAUGGGGACAUCUGGAACAGGACACAUCUAGGAACAGGAGCAGGUGUUGCCUCGCUUACCCUGGGGCUUUAAAGGUCAGGCUCACCCCCAGCAAGGCACUGGGUCCUCAGUUAGCUGCCCAGCUCCGUAUAUAGUCAGCUAACUUACAUUUGUCAUCUCAAGAUACAGUUUGCUGUAGAACAGAGAAUAUUUAGAAGGGAUUUGGUAAGUAACAUCUACUGCUGUACUGAAAAUUCAACUCAAAGUGUUAAAAUCUUAAAAGAAAAAAAAAAAAGAAAAAGAAAGGUUUGGGUAAAAAUAAAAGGUCUUUGGAGAGGUUUCCUUGGCAGGAUCCUUUUCUCCCUGUACAUACAGUAGAUUUGUUCAUGUUUGUCAUUAUCCUUCUGAACAUCAAACAGGAGCGCAGCAAAGGCUGGCUUUCGAGAGAUAAACCUGGAGGAGAUAAUAUUUCACACUACAUAAAACGCACUUCGGGAAUUUUCAGUUCUUCUUUGUAACGUUACGAGGGCCUUUAUAAAAAGUGUCACAGCUCAUGAGCUAAAAAAGAAGAAAAAAAAAAAAA